ensembl:lncRNA
AGAUACAGCCAGCUGUGAGGACGAGUUUGACAGCAGCGCAUGGAAACCGCGAUGGGAAUAUCAAAUAGGUGGUAGCAGUUCAGCCUCAGCACCACCGCACAUCAAUUUUAAUACUGCAUACUCUCAAAACUUCCCUGGCGUACCCACAAUGUAAAAAGAGCCUGAGAUUUUGGAAUUACGUAGAAUGUCAGCGCUGAGAAAGGUGUUGCCGAGCAUACUGCAGAAGCAUUGCUGUAUCUUACCUGACAGAAACACAGUGGACCUGGGCUGGGAGGAUGUCAGGUACCAUCCUUUCUGCUGAUACCAGACCAGUGAUUCAUGGAGUGACGAGACUGAACUGGAUCGACUGACGAGAACGGAGUGACCAGACUGACUGGAUGGAUUGACGAGAAUGAACAAAAGGUUUCGGCUGGCUGCAGCUCCUUCUCUUUGGUGAUGGGCAGACGGUGAGAUCUGGGCCGUCGAGCGGAGUGGGUCGGCGCGGGG